ACUCACUUUGAUUUGAGUUGAGUCUUGGUUCACCAAUCUACUAGGCUUUGAAUUUCAUGGGUAAUGUUUUAUUUUUGAAUGCAUGCAAGCAUGAUUCCGCCUUUUAAUUGUUAAAUGCAUGCUAUAGAUGUUAUUCAAAUGAACAUGUUUUCACAAAAUCAUCCUUCAUGUUAAGCUAUUUUCGUGUGUUUGUAGGUCCAUAGGGUAAAGCAAUAAGAUGCAUUUUUUGUGCAUUUUGGAGCAGUUUUGGGCUUGGAAUGGAUAGCACAUGCAUGGAGCAAGGUGGAUCGACGAAAUUGAAGACUAAAGAGGCUAGGAAUGUGUUAAAGAGAAAGAAGAAUUAGUGUAAAAAGGACAAAGAGCUCAGCCACAAAGGGGUGUCACUCCACCAUUCACCUUUUCAUCAUUGCCGUGCACCACCAUUGCACUCCCUUUGGAUUCCUAUGUCGUGCAUCAUCAUCCAUGUUCCCUCCAUUGACUCAUUUGUUGCAUCAUUCCACUUCCUUUCCUUUGUUUACCAUGUGCACAAUAUUUUUUCACCUCCUUGCACUCAUUUAUUCACCACUUCCUCACAUUUUCACCCAUGCCAUGCAUAAUCACUCUUGUCCCCUUCAUGCACCAGAUUUCUUGCACUCAUUUCAUGCACCAUUACACUCAUUAUCCACCCAUGCCGUGCACCACCCUUGUCUCCUUCAUUAUUUUUGAUUUCAUGCAUCAAAACAUUGAAUCAUUGCACUCAAUUGUUACACAUUUCUUGUCCAUUUCACCCAUAAGAUUUUAUACAACUUUUACCUCCACUACAUGCACUCAUUGAUGCACCAUCCACCACAUUUGGAAUCCCAUGCCGUGCAUCAUGAGUCUUGCUGCACCUUUGACUCAUUUCUACACCAUUCCACCUCCCUUUCCUUUCUUUACCAUGUGCACAAUCAUUCAUGUUCCCUAGCUGCAACACCACUCCAUUUUACCCCCCAUGCUUUGCAUCAUCACUUCACUUUCAUCUUUCAAUCAUUUCAAACAUCACUCAAUGCACUCAUUGCUGCAACACCACUCCAUUUUACCCCCUAUGCUUUGCAUCAUUACUUCAUUUUUACCCUUGAAUCAUUGCAAACACCACUAAAUUCCCUCCAUUGCCGUGCACUUCCUCUAUAAAAGGAAGUGUGUGUGGCAGCCACAUAGUUUAGUUUUUGCUUUAUCAUUGAUCGGAUCAUAUUUAUAUAUAUUUUUACUUCAAAUUCACUCGUCUUUUCUUAGUUAGUUCCUUAUAUUUUUGAGCUAUUUGCGUUAUUUUUGUGUUUAUAGGAUUUGUUAUGCAAAGAAAAUAAAAAUAGAACAAGUGAAAUUUUAUGUAUUAAAUUCGUCAAACCUGUCUGUGUAGAUCAGCUUUUAAAUAAAAUCAAUAAAAGAAAUAAUAAUGAUAAAUCAUGAUGAUGUUUGAAACAUCAUCAUGAUUCAUGUUUUGUGGCAUAACAGAAAAUAAAAGGAGAGAGGACGUGAAAAGAAGAAUCCAAGGAAAGCAGAACGGGGGGCAUAAUAAAAUAAGAAGAGGAAAGAGAUACGGGGAUUGACUGGAGGGGAGAAAACCACACGAAAAAAGAAGAAAUAAGAGGUAGGGGGAAUAAGGAGCUGCCUUUGGGCAGCGGGAGAAAGGGCGCAAGUCAAGGGAGUAGCAGAAAAGCUGCCAGGGAAAAGAAUAAAAAAAAAGAACAAAAAAGAAUAGGAGCUGCCUUUGGGCAGCGGGAGAAAGGGCGCAAGUCAGGGGAGAGAAGAAAGAGUGCGACAGCUACGGAACAGGGAAGAAGUAGGGAGGACUUGUCAGCAGGUCAGAGAGGAGAAUAAACAGAGCGAGCACAGUAAGAGUGGGAGGAAGCCCUGACAGCGGUGCAGCAGAAACCGAGGGGCAGACUGGCACUGAAUCACUCUCUCCUCUCCCGGUUAAUUCUCUCCAAAUUUAUAUUUUACUUUUAGUUUAAUUUGAUAAUAAUGUGUAACUAAUUUUAUUUUGGCUAGAGGUUAAUUCGAAACCAUGAUUAUAUUUGUAAUAUGAAUUGAUUACCUUCAGUUGUGAUU
rnacentral:lncRNA from 1 species